rnacentral:rRNA from 1 species
UACGAAGGGGGCUAGCGUUGCUCGGAAUUACUGGGCGUAAAGCGCACGUAGGCGGAUUGUUAAGUCGGGGGUGAAAUCCUGGAGCUCAACUCCAGAACUGCCUUCGAUACUGGAGAGCUUGAGUCCGGGAGAGGUGAGUGGAACUGCGAGUGUAGAGGUGAAAUUCGUAGAUAUUCGCAAGAACACCAGUGGCGAAGGCGGCUCACUGGCCCGGUACUGACGCUGAGGUGCGAAAGCGUGGGGAGCAAACAGG